GUUAAAGGAAUUGGACGGGGCCCGCACAAGCGGAGGAACAUGUGGUUUAAUUCGAUGAUACGCGAGGAACCUUACCUGGGCUUAAAUGUAGAGUGCAUGAGGUAGAAAUACUUCUUCCCGUUCGGGCUUCUUUGCAAGGUGCUGCAUGGUUGUCGUCAGCUCGUGCCGUGAGGUGUCGGGUUAAGUCCCAUAACGAGCGCAACCCUUAUCGUUAGUUGCCAGCGGGUCAUGCCGGGGACUCUAGCGAAACUGCCGGUGUAAACCGAGAGGAAGGUGGGGAUGACGUCAAAUCAGCACGGCCCUUAUGUCCAGGGCUACACACGUGUUACAAUGGCCGGUACAGAGGGCAGCUACCUGGAGACAGGAUGCGAAUCUCGAAAGCCGGUCUCAGUUCGGAUCGGAGUCUGCAACUCGACUCCGUGAAGCUGGAUUCGCUAGUAAUCGCGAAUCAGAAUGUCGCGGUGAAUACGUUCCCGGGCCUU
rnacentral:rRNA from 1 species